UGGUUUUGUCGAAAUUGAACAUGGUUGUUGAGGUUGUUAAGAACAUGUGAUUAUGAGAUUGAGGAAUCCUUGAGUGUUGGUUGUUGAUGGUUUAAUUCUAUCUACUUUUUCAAAAGACAUUCUAAAGGCGGAAUUGAAUGCAGUACACUCAGGUAUGUUUUAUUUUUAGCUUAAAAAAUAAAUUUCUUUUCUUUUGAAUGAACAAAAAUACUAAUAUGUUUAUCUAACAAAUUAAUGUAACUGCAGAAUUUUAUGAAAGACAAAAUGAUUCGGCAUAUAUUCUUAAUCAAUUUAGAUGCCACUCAUCAAAA
rnacentral:lncRNA from 1 species